rnacentral:rRNA from 1 species
CGGGGGGAGCAAGCGUUGUUCGGAUUUACUGGGCGUAAAGGGCGCGUAGGCGGCCACCGCAAGUCGACUGUGAAAUCUCCGGGCUUAACUCGGAAAGGUCAGCCGAUACUGCGGGGCUAGAGUGCAGAAGGGGCAACUGGAAUUCUCGGUGUAGCGGUGAAAUGCGUAGAUAUCGAGAGGAACACCUGCGGCGAAGGCGGGUUGCUGGGCUGACACUGACGCUGAGGCGCGAAAGCUAGGGGAGCGAACGGGAUUAGAUACCCCGGUAGUCCUAGCCUUAAACGAUGGAUGCUUGGUGUCUGGGGUUUUAUAGUCCCCGGGUGCCGUCGCUAACGCUUUAAGCAUCCCGCCUGGGGAGUACGGUCGCAAGACUG